rnacentral:rRNA from 1 species
AGCAGCCGCGGUAAUUCCAGCUCCAAUAGCGUAUAUUAAAGUUGUUGCAGUUAAAAAGCUCGUAGUUGAACCUUAGGCCCGUGCGGGCGGUCCGUCCUCUGGGCGAGCACUGCCUCGUCGCGGGUCUCACCUUCUGGCGAGCGUGGAUGCCAUUCAUUUGGUGUCCUUGGGAACCAGGACCUUUACCUUGAAAAAUUAGAGUGCUCAAAGCGGGCUCUUACGCUUGAAUACAUUAGCAUGGAAUAAUGAAAUAGGACGACGGUUCUAUUUUGUUGGUUUCCGGGAUUGUCGUAAUGAUUAAUAGGGAUAGUUGGGGGCAUUCGUAUUCAAUUGUCAGAGGUGAAAUUCUUGGAUUUUAUUGAAGACGGACUACUGCGAAAGCAUUUGCC